UUAGAUGUCCGGGGCCGCACGCGCGCUACACUGAAGGAAUCAGCGUGUGCUCUCCCUGUCCGGCAGGACUGGGUAACCCGCCGAACCUCCUUCGUGAUAGGGAUAGGGGCUUGUAACUGUUCCCCUCGAACGAGGAAUUCCCAGUAAGCGCGAGUCAUAAGCUCGUGUUGAUUACGUCCCUGCCCUUUGUACACACCGCCCGUCGCUACUACCGAUUGAAUGAUUUAGUGAGGUCUUCGGACUGGCGCUCGGAGCGGCCCUUCAGGCCGGGCCGACGUGCCGGAAAGAUGACCGAACUUGAUCAUUUAGAGGAAGUAAAAGUCGUAACAGGUUU
rnacentral:rRNA from 1 species